UUGUUUCAGCAGCACAUAUUCUAAGACUGGAUCAAUACAGAGCAGAUAAGCAUGGCUGCUGCCUGAGGAUGGCACACAGAUUCAGAAAACAUUCCACAUGUUG
ensembl:snRNA U6 U6 spliceosomal RNA